rnacentral:sRNA from 1 species
GAUGGGCAUGGGGACACGCACCUGUAGUCCCAGCUACUCUGGGGACUGAGGCCGGAGGAUCCCUGUAGCCCAGGAGUUUGAGGCCAACCUGGGCAACAUAGCAAGACCCUGUCCCAA